GACGUAGGGGGCCAGCGUUGUUCGGAAUUACUGGGUGUAAAGGGUUCGUAGGCGGUGCGGCAAGUUGGGAGUGAAAUCUCUGGGCUUAACCCAGAGGCUGCUUCCAAAACUGCUGUGCUUGAGUGUGGGAGAGGCGCGUGGAAUUGCAGGUGUAGCGGUGAAAUGCGUAGAUAUCUGCAGGAACACCCGUGGCGAAAGCGGCGCGCUGGACCACUACUGACGCUGAGGCGCGAAAGCGUGGGGAGCAAACAGG
rnacentral:rRNA from 1 species